GGCCGGUUCUGAAGCUCCCCAGCGUUGUCUCCAGCCCAGCCUCAUUGCUUUCAAGGAAAUGGAGGACGAGUGGUCAUCACUCAUCAUGUGCCAGCCUCUGGUUCAGACUCUCUACACAGAUUUCAGCUUCGAAAAACCAACUAGACGUGUGCAUAUGGAGCGCUCCCUGAUAGGGCAUCUCCCUUUCAGGCCUUAAGAAGAGAGGAAGGGAUGGAAAUGCAAGAAAAAGCAGGGUGCUUGUCCCACCUCUUCCAAGUACUACGGCAGAGGACAGAAAGGUGAUAGAUGCUCCCGGACAUUUCCAGUGUCCCUCGCUCUAACAGACCCUGAGAAUCCAUCCGGCCUUGGUCCCUUUGCCUGGAACUUGCAGUCUCCCCUGGCUUAGGAGGAUAUCUGAUAUGUGAUCCCCAAAGGGGUCACAACCCUCAGGUUGAGAACCACCGCCUGAAGACCAGAAGAGAUGUGCCCAGCACAACCAACAAAUGAGCAGUGCUCCCAUCAUGACUAAGAAACUGGAAUCCUCCUGCAUCCCACCAGCACAGGCUGCUGAGGACUUGAAGGUACCAUUUCACAUCUAAUCUCUUCAAGUCAAGCUGAAGCCAUUUUCCUCACUCAGAGCCCCAUGUGGAUGCCUCAGAAUUAACAUCUUUGAAGUUUUUUCUGUGAGGAAAUGACUAUCCAUGCUCUUCCUCUCCUUUCAGAGCUCCAAGGGAUACACAGUCAUUUUCUCUCUACUUAUCUUGCCUAGUUGCAAAUUGUGCUCACUCCCCAGCGCGCCUAUUUGUCCUGCCUCUAAAGAGAUGAU